rnacentral:lncRNA from 1 species
CGUGUGUGUGAGCUCUACAGUGAGACGCAGCUGGAGUGUGACGCACAUAGACGUGCCACACCGGGACCAGGACAGCGAACACAACCGCCACGGCGGAGACGCCGGCAGCAGCCGGGAUGGCGGCAGUGAUGUCAAUACAGGGGACGGGUCAGCGAAGGCUGUCUCUGUCACCACGGAAACCCCAGCCGUGCUCCACCUCCGGUCUGAACUGAGCAUUACGAUGUCAUCUGUAGUCCUGUCCUCCAAUGAGAAUGCUGGAUAGUGCUUUUUUCUGGAAUCUCUCACUUGUCCACUUCUCCAUGUGUCCAUCCAUCCACCCAUCCCUCCAUCCGUGCACUCAUCUGUGUGUCCAUUCAUCCACCUGUGGGUAUUGGAUUCUGCUUUCUCUCACAGGAGCCUCACAAGAACACAUAAGAGGAGGGGAACAAACAGCAAACUGAUUAUUAGAGAUUAUGCCCCGUGUCACUCAGUCUGAAGAGUGUUUGGACAAACUGUUAAAAUUUCUGGAUGUCAGAACGCUGUGCGAGAAUGGAGGUGUGAUAUUCAUUAAAGGUAAAUGCUUUUUAUCAUGUUUUACUACAACAAACAAGAAAAUGUGAAUUUAGUUAUCAUGACGGACAGUUCUGGUGGAAACAAGACAGUUGAGGUGCACAUUGAAUUCUGCCGUGAUUUGAUCAGCCGUGGUUUUAUGUUUUUUUAAUACAAUCUGGGUUAGCACCCGAACAUCCCUUUCAGACAGCUUCCUCUUACAGCGUCCACAGUUAAUCCUGUUGGAUGUGGUUGGUCCUUCUUGGUGGUAUGCUGACAUAACCCUGGAUACCGUGGCUCUUGAUACAUCACAAAGACUUGCUGUCUUGGUCACAGAUGCGCCAGCAAGACGUGCACCAACAAUUUGUCCUCUUUUGAACUCUGGUGUGUCACCUAUAAUGUUGUGUGCAUUACAAUAUUUAGAGCAGAACUGUGCUCUAACCCUGCUAAUUGAACCAACCUUCACACUCUGCUCUUACUGGUGCAAUAAUGUGCA